rnacentral:lncRNA from 1 species
UUCCCAUGGGUCGACCCAACCAUUCUUUGGGUCGACUCAAAGUUCACUUGGGUCGACUCAACUUCUUCUUGGGUCGACCCUCUCAGUAAUUCCAGAGAACCAUUUUCUGUCUGCCUUUCUGUCUUGCCUUUGGGUCGACCCUCUCAGGGUUUGGGUCGACUCAAGCUUGGGUCGACUCAACCACUGUUUGGGUCGACCCUCUCAGUAAAUCCAGAGAA